rnacentral:rRNA from 1 species
UACGGGGGGGGCAAGCGUUGUUCGGAAUUACUGGGCGUAAAGGGCUCGUAGGCGGCCAACUAAGUCGGACGUGAAAUCCCCAGGCUCAACCUGGGAACUGCGUCUGAUACUGGAUGGCUUGAGUUUGGGAGAGGGACGCGGAAUUCCAGGUGUAGCGGUGAAAUGCGUAGAUAUCUGGAGGAACACCGGUGGCGAAGGCGGCGUCCUGGACCAACACUGACACUGAUGAGCGAAAGCCAGGGGAGCAAACGGG